UACGUAGGGUGCGAGCGUUAAUCGGAAUUACUGGGCGUAAAGCGUGCGCAGGCGGUUUUGUAAGCCAGAUGUGAAAGCCCCGGGCUUAACCUGGGAAUGGCAUUUGGGACUGCAAGGCUGGAGUGUGGCAGAGGAGACUGGAAUUCCUGGUGUAGCAGUGAAAUGCGUAGAUAUCAGGAGGAAUACCGAUGGCGAAGGCAGGUCUCUGGGCUAACACUGACGCUCAUGCACGAAAGCGUGGGGAGCAACAGG
rnacentral:rRNA from 1 species